GCCAGCAACUUCCACAGUCUCACUGCAAGCAGUGCCAUCCAGACCACCUCAGGAUUGGGUGCUAUGAGGUACAUUUAUUCAUUCUGAGAAAGAGACAACACUUAUACGUAAGUGCACGGGAGCCUUCCACAUUCCCAUCCAACAGCUCUCUGAAAUUUACAGCCAGACUCCAUCAGUUUAACAGAGACAUAGGUGAGCGAGUG